rnacentral:lncRNA from 1 species
GCGUAGGGUAGGGUGGUAGCCAAUGAACCGCGUGUACACUAUGAACCAUAGUACCUACCGGCCAUACCUAACGUUGCUAGCUCGCGCAAAAAUUAUGUCGAGACUCCCUUGCCACGUCAAGAAGUUUGGUCUAUUCGCCGUGGGUCUGUCGCGAUAUACUCACCUAUGAGCCGCUUCUUAGUCUUCUACUCAAGCAAAAACGACAAAAAAAGCAUGGGGCGAAACACGGUAGGGAGGAAAGUACGUAAAAAAGGGUAUCACACCGCGGAAGCUACACAAAGAGGUAUAGAAAAAACACUUGUCGGGAUUAAGCAUUCUAAAAGCAGCAAAAACUGCAACCUUCUCUAUCCAGUAUUGCGACAGACGAAGUGUUUGUGCGGAGAUAUGUCACAAACAAAGUACCUACAGGAACAAUCCGUCUUGUAGACUAGAGCCCCAUUAUGAUGCAAGUAAAUUUCUUACUGCCCAACAUGAAGACAGCAUAAAGAAAUGUUGAUUGUUACAAUUUGUGAUUUGGACAAUAAAAAAACAUAAGUCUGAAUGUGAUAAAAACACGUCGACUUUAUAAUGCUAAGAGCAUUUUAAUUAAUAUAAAUAUACAAGUACAAAAUGAUUUUUCUUUUUUCCCGGAAAGAGUUUGUGCGUAACUUUUAAGAUGUUCAUAAUUAUUGUUAAAAAUUAAGUUUUAAGGCUGAUUUGUUGGUUCUUAAACGUAUGUAUGACCCGAAACUUAAUAAUUAUAAAAAGUUAUAAAUAGUGUAUUUAUUUUUCUUUAAAACAAACAAUAUUGUUUUUUUUUAUAUUACCGUGAUUCAUUGUGUACCACAUGGUUCAUUUAGUACCACCCCCCCGGUUCUUUGUGUACCCCUAGGAGUACGCUAUGAACCAUUUCUCAUGUUUUAAAAAAACAUGUAUAAAUUAGGCAACAGCAAAUGUUUUCCACUUAUUUCAACACAAUUUGGCAGCUUAUUAAAUAACCUAUCAUUUGAGACAAAAAUAUUUUCUUAGACUGUAAAAACGAGCGCGCUAGAGAUCUCCAAACUUUUGGUGGUUCAUUGGCUACCACCCUACCCUACACAAUA